GAGAGGCGCUGCAUGGCUGUCGUCAGCUCGUGUUGUGAAAUGUUGGGUUAAGUCUCGCAACGAGCGCAACCCCUAUCCUUAGUUGCCAGCAUUAAGUUGGGCACUCUAAGGAGACUGCCUGGGUUAACCAGGAGGAAGGUGGGGAUGACGUCAAGUCCUCAUGGCCCUUAUGUCCAGGGCUACACACGUAAUACAAUGGCCGGUACAGAGGGAUGCGAACUCGCGAGGGGGAGCAAAUCUCAAAAAGCCGGUCUCAGUCCGGAUUGAAGUCUGCAACUCGACUUCAUGAAGUUGGAAUCGCUAGUA
rnacentral:rRNA from 1 species